AGGCAGCAGUAGGGAAUCUUCCACAAUGGGCGAAAGCCUGAUGGAGCAACGCCGCGUGGGUGAAGAAGGUCUUCGGAUCGUAAAACCCUGUUGUUAGAGAAGAAAGUGCGUGAGAGUAACUGUUCACGUUUCGACGGUAUCUAACCAGAAAGCCACGGCUAACUACGUGCCAGCAGCCGCGGUAAUACGUAGGUGGCAAGCGUUAUCCGGAUUUAUUGGGCGUAAAGGGAACGCAGGCGGUCUUUUAAGUCUGAUGUGAAAGCCUUCGGCUUAACCGGAGUAGUGCAUUGGAAACUGGGAGACUUGAGUGCAGAAGAGGAGAGUGGAACUCCAUGUGUAGCGGUGAAAUGCGUAGAUAUAUGGAAGAACACCAGUGGCGAAAGCGGCUCUCUGGUCUGUAACUGACGCUGAGGUUCGAAAGCGUGGGUAGCAAACAGGAUUAGAUACCCUGGUAG
rnacentral:rRNA from 1 species